rnacentral:lncRNA from 1 species
UAAAAAGGAGUCUUCAUUUGGACACUGAACUCGCCACUUUCCGGACUGAAAUCAUGUAGAGGUCACACACCUUAGAUGGCAAUCUAGGCUGUGUAAGCCAGCCCCAAGAGUCCAGCAUCCUCACACUGUACUUACCAGGUCCUGCAUCUCGUCCUUCCUUCCCCAAGGUGCUCCCGACCACGACCCUUGACCUGUCCCUUCGGUGCUCCCCACCUCCUUGGCUGAGACUUGGGCAUCAGGUAUGCAACGCGAAAUGCUCUCGGCAUCAAGUAUGCCUGCCUAGGCCUGGCCGCCACCCCCACUUUGCCUUUGGCUACCCAUAGUCAACAAGAGAUAAAACCAGAUGCUGGGCACAGAACGUACCCAUGAUGUCAGUCAGAAAUGCCCUCAAGCAUAUUUCUGUACAUCCUGAUCUUUAAACCCAGUCAUCAUGCGGAGCAUUCAUUGUUGGCUGUAGUCCCAGGUUAAAAAACAGACAAACAUUCCAGGCUGCUGUAGGCUGUCCAUCCAUCCACAGGCACUGCUUUCACCACGCUUCUUCAUACUUGAAACUUGUUCUGCUAUUUGGAUUUCACGGUGCAGACAUCAGGUGCGCAUUCCCUCCGGGUGCAUAAUUGCUCUCAUUCCAUUUGCUCAGACUGCUACAGAAUACUCUGUUUUGGUGCUUUGGGUUCAGCGGGUCAGAGAAGCACUGUGGGAAGUCACUGCCUAGAGCACGGUCUUAAAGCCUGUGGGCAGGAGUCCUUGUGUUGAUGUUGCUUCUGCCCUUUUCUGGGCCCUCUAGAUGGAGUUGCCGGUUUGGCCUGCCGGGGUCCACCUGAGAACUUUCUCUGAAGGGUCUAUGAACCCUGUGCUGUAUUCGAGGGUGAAUGUGGCAUCUCUCCUCUGGCAACCUUACCUUUCCGGGUUACUAGCCAUCAGAAAAAUGACCUAGGUUACAUAUAGCAAACAAGUGAAUGGGCCAAGUAGACCUGUGUCACUCCAUACAGCCCUCCAGAGGGAAAGGACCUGAGGGAAAGGAUAGAAAGAUAUCUCUAAGUUCCCCUUCAAAGCCCUGAGCUGAAGGCCUUUGCUCCCUUCCUUGAACCUGAUGAAAAUACUAGUCAGUUUAUCCAAGCCCUUCCCACUUAAAAGAAUGGGAAAGUAGAGGCAUAUGAUUGUCGGGGUCACCCAAAGGCUACAACCUCUAGCCAUGGGGGAUUUCGUAGAUGUCCAUCUUUAAAAGCAGCUCAGGUAAGGGGUGACUCCAGGUUUCCCGUAGGCAUCUUAAUGUGGGACUUCCCUGGAGAGGGAGAGCUACAGUGUUCAUUCUAUAUCAGAGGGCAGGAGAGGAAACCAGCAGGAAAUGGGAGGGUUACAGAUCAAUACUCCUUUGGAAACUGGAUGUCUUAACUGGGUGCUAGAACGCAAACUUAUGUAUUUAUUGUCUGGUCAUUGAAUUCAUUGCCUUUCAAAACCAUUGUUCAAAUGUCACUAUCCAUUGGACUCACUUGCGUGCCAGCCGAAUUGGUUGAAACCAAACCAGAGAGUGGUUUGUCCAUUUGCCAUACCUUUUGUAUUUCUUACAAUAAAAACAUGUUGGUAGCAAAUAAAGACAGCAA